rnacentral:rRNA from 1 species
GACGAACGCUGGCGGCGUGCCUAAUACAUGCAAGUCGAACGCUGAAGGAGGAGCUUGCUUCUCUGGAUGAGUUGCGAACGGGUGAGUAACGCGUAGGUAACCUGCCUGGUAGCGGGGGAUAACUAUUGGAAACGAUAGCUAAUACCGCAUAAUAGUAGAUGUUGCAUGACAUUUGCUUAAAAGGUGCAAUUGCAUCACUACCAGAUGGACCUGCGUUGUAUUAGCUAGUUGGUGAGGUAACGGCUCACCAAGGCGACGAUACGUAGCCGACCUGAGAGGGUGAUCGGCCACACUGGGACUGAGACACGGCCCAGACUCCUACGGGAGGCAGCAGUAGGGAAUCUUCGGCAAUGGACGGAAGGCUGACCGAGCAACGCCGCGUGAGUGAAGAAGGUUUUCGGAUCGUAAAGCUCUGUUGUAAGAGAAGAACGAGUGUGAGAGUGGAAAGUUCACACUGUGACGGUAUCUUACCAGAAAGGGACGGCUAACUACGUG